UACGUAGGGGGCUAGCGUUAUCCGGAAUUACUGGGCGUAAAGGGUGCGUAGGUGGUUUCUUAAGUCAGGGGUGAAAGGCUACGGCUCAACCGUAGUAAGCCUUUGAAACUGGGAAACUUGAGUGCAGGAGAGGAGAGUGGAAUUCCUAGUGUAGCGGUGAAAUGCGUAGAUAUUAGGAGGAACACCAGUUGCGAAGGCGGCUCUCUGGACUGUAACUGACACUGAGGCACGAAAGCGUGGGGAGCAAACAGGAUUAGAUACCCCGGUAGUCCCUGAGCGGGCU
rnacentral:rRNA from 1 species